rnacentral:rRNA from 1 species
AAUUGACCUCGGAUCAGGUAGGGAUACCCGCUGAACUUAAGCAUAUCAAUAAGCGGAGGAA